CACGAUCGCCAGGAAUUUUUUUUCAUCCGAGAUUUAUUUUAAUCACCCCCUCUUUUUAGAAUUUAAAAAUUCUUAUUAAUUAUUUUGAUUUUAAAUGUUUUUGCGAAAAAAUGAACUAGGGCCGUGGCUAUUCGCUGUCUUUUGAGGAUAACGACUCCCCCUUCCCCUCCCUCGGCGGCUGCGACUCGUGACGCGGCUAUUCGUCAAGAGGAAAAAAAAACCCCGCCCCCUUUUACGUUUUUUUUAUUAUUUUUUUACCGCGCUCCGACACACCAAACUAAAAGGAUGGAUAGUUUUAUUUCCUCUUUUAAUCUGACGGUGGCUACAAAGAGGAUACUGCAAUUUUUUGUGCCCUCGCUCCCUUUUUUUUUUUCGGAUUGGGAGGGAAUUGCGUGUGCGUGGUAAUGCACUGCCUGGGACAGGUGCCAGCUUAAAGACAAAAGAUGUGAAAUAGACUGCAGAGAUAGCAAAUGGCAGCGGACGGGGGAGAGGAAAAAAAAAAAAAAAACCCAAAAAACGCGAAAAAAAAACCCUUGCGGGAUUCCUGACUUUGCCGUGGCACAAGCAGAAUAGCUGGCGAGGAGGCUGCAAGGUGAACUCCGUCUUUCUCCGGUCCCCAAGGCAGCUGGCCAACCAACCUGGAACAGGAAUCCACGGAAGAUGAAGGGUUAACGCUAUGGCUGCGAAACGCUCCCAC